UACGUAGGUGGCAAGCGUUGUCCGGAAUUACUGGGCGUAAAGAGCGCGCAGGCGGUCGGAUAAGUCGAAUGUGAAAGCCCCCGGCUCAACUGGGGAGGGUCAUUCGAUACUGUUCGACUCGAAGGCAGGAGAGGGAAGUGGAAUUCCCGGUGUAGUGGUGAAAUGCGUAGAUAUCGGGAGGAACACCAGUGGCGAAGGCGACUUCCUGGCCUGUUCUUGACGCUGAGGCGCGAAAGCUAGGGGAGCAAACGGGG
rnacentral:rRNA from 1 species